rnacentral:misc_RNA from 1 species
AAAUAAAAAAUAAAUAAAUAAAUACACCAUUCCAUGCAUCCAAUCAUCAUUUUUUAAAGCAAUAACAACUAAAACAUGUUUACUCGAACUAUGAUCAAUCAAUACCGAAAUGCCAAUAACAUUGACUGAAACCCAUUCCUCAAACCCAGUACCACAUAAAUCAUGUUAUUAUGCUCAUACUUCAACAAUUCAAAUACCCAUUUUUGCCAACAAUGCCAGCCAAAAUCAAACCAAUAAAUAAAAGAGCCUAACAACAUUCUUUGCAUUUGCAUCUCAAACUAAGAGUCUUGAAUUUGUUUAUAGAAAAAGGAAAGGGAAAAAACAAGCAAUCUCAUUUACAAAUUUUUUGUUUUAUUGUUUAGGAAACAAUCAGAUUCUAAUCAGUUUACUAUUUAUUUAUGAAGUUUGCCAUAUUUCUAUCAGCUAACAGACUUCAUAUCAGAAAAGUACCACAAUAUUGGAAUAUAAAUGAAAAGAAUGUUAUAUUACGAGUGAGAGAAAUGGAUCCAUUAAAGAAGAAAUAAGAAAAUAUAAUCCAUGUUUGAUAAACCAUAGAAGAUUUUCACCUCUAUUGGCUGAAAACAAUAUAUUUACAAUAUGCAGGAUGCAUAGAACACUAAAAUCAUUUAGAAAAAGAGUUAUUUGUAUAUCAACUUUGUAAGGUAAAUUUCAAAAGGUGAAAAAAUCAUCGUUUU